rnacentral:rRNA from 1 species
CUACGGGGGGCUCCAGUGGGGAAUUUUGCGCAAUGGGGGAAACCCUGACGCAGCAACGCCGCGUGAAGGAUGAAGGCCUUUGGGUCGUAAACUUCUGUCAGAGGGGAAGAAAUGCCCGCAAGGGAGCUGACGGUACCCUCAAAGGAAGCACCGGCUAACUCCGUGCCAGCAGCCGCGGUAAUACGGAGGGUGCAAGCGUUGUUCGGAAUUAUUGGGCGUAAAGAGCAUGUAGGCGGACUGUUAAGUCUGGUGUGAAAGCCCGGGGCUCAACCCCGGAAGUGCAUUGGAUACUGGCAGUCUUGAGUAUGGGAGAGGAAAGUGGAAUUCCGAGUGUAGGAGUGAAAUCCGUAGAUAUUCGGAGGAACACCAGUGGCGAAGGCGGCUUUCUGGACCAAUACUGACGCUGAGAUGCGAAAGCGUGGGGAGCAAACAGGAUUAGAUACCCCUGUAGUC